GCAAACGGACCCAAGCAGCGUUACGAAGCCACGUUGUGUGCGCUCUUUGUAAGAAAGUUGCCAUGUGCGGCCCACUGGUACGGAAUGGCGGGUUAGGCUUUGCCUCUGUGACAGGAUGAAGAGCAGACUCCGAGAAUCUGCAGUGCAAGACCUGCAG